CAAGGUACGUUUUAUCCGUUUGAUUCCCGGCUGUAAAACACACAAGCAGAAACAAAAAAACAAGCCGUUUUUUCGUUUUUUCGUUUUGAGCAAAAAACAAAAAAACAGGAAACGGUUCGUUUUUUCGUUUUUUCGUUUUGACCAAAAAAACAAAAAACCAGGAAACGGUUUGUUUUUUCGUUUUUUCGUUUUCACCCCCAAAAUGAAAAUACGACUCCAUAUUUCGUUUUAUUGGUGGGCGGGGCUUCGGAGCCCACCGGUGCACAAUAAAGCUCCUGUCCAUCACAAUAAAGCUCUUGCGCUCGCAGGCAUAGACAGACUGACUUUCUUUGUAUUGCCUGCCCCCACUGCACUUCCCCUAAUUCUAAAUCAAAGCAAGUCGUGUACACAGUACAGAGUUUGCACGAUAGUAGGCUAUUUAUUGAUUGAAUGAGCGAAAGAUAGCCUAUCUAUCGGAUUAAACACCCAAGAGGAGGCCGAAGAGGCGCGCUGAAAGUAGGUAUAUAAAAUGACCAGCAGGUGUCGCCAUUCCUUAAUGUUGCCACCAACCAUCCCCUAUCAGGCAAUUAAUACAUUGAUCUGGGUUAAUGUGAUCUGGGUUAAUGGCUUUUCUCUGACUUCUUCACUAACCAAUGCAAUACAUGUAAGAUGCACUCAAAAGUGCCCGCGCCCUAUUGUGGCCAUUCCUGUGACGCUCUUUGAGCUGCAAUUCCUGCAUGAAAGCUGCUAUACUGACUUAUUACUAUUAUUAUUAUUAGGCUGUUAUGAUUAUUAAUGGUAAUUGCUUAGACCUAGUUUUAACUGACUGCCACAGGAACAAAUAAUUAUCUUCUGGAGAACAAACUUGUCCGGGAUCAGAACUGUAGUAAACCCACUUUGUUUUAUGCUUGCUGUGUCUCAUUUUGUCCACCAGAUGGUAGCUUGUGUGUUUGUGUGUUUGCCUUAUAAACGAAAGUCUCAUUUGAAAUGCAUUUUUGUGACAUAAUCUUUAUAUGUGCUGAGUUUUAUGAUAUGGGUUUUGCUAACAAAUGUCAUUUUAUCUGCUUUGUGCGUAUAUUUCUGCACGUUUUGGAGUUAAUGGUUCAGAUUUAUAUCGCCAUGAUUUUAUUUGAAGACGACCUUUUAUUUCCCGUCUAUCGUUUUUUUCCGGGAAUUCUAGUCACUUCAUUACGGAAUGAAUGAGCUAACGUAAAAGAUGAAAGUUCAAGGUACAGUAAGGGAUAAGGCAUCGAAUGAUGAGUAUAUUUGUUUUGCAACCCCCCAAAGAGGCACAAGUUCUCACGUUGGUAUAUGGAGUUGCUUGUGGCAAUAAACUUGAAACCAUCAGUCGAGUCUCUUACCGUCUUUCGGAGGGUAUGCUGCAAGAACACCAACUGCAAGAAGGGGUAAACCACACUCUACUUCAUGGGGAAAAUGGCAUCAUUUGUCCUGUAGUCUGAGGAGCUAUCACUGUACCACUGUACUACUUACCACUGUAAUAAUCAACCAAUCCAUCCUUCUCUUCACUCAUUACAAGCUAAUGGUCAGUUUUAUUGUCUUUUAUAGCUAUAAAUUGUGCUAGAUGUUUUAAUCUUCAAUUGCAUUGCAGAUUCUGCUAUUCCUGAGGAUAGCAACCAUUUUGCCUGUAAAAAAUAAAGUAGUCUUCACGGCACCCUUCACCAUUUUUCUUGUUCUUCCUCUGGACGUCUUCAUUUCUGCAUUUGUCACAUUAAGCAUAUUGUGAAAUUUAAAAAAUUGAAGCCAUUUGAGAAAUUAAUAUACUGUGUAUAAUUUAUCUGAGAAUGAUUGUAUUGUAAAAGUUGGAAUGAUAAGGAAAAAUUAAAUAAAAUGGAUACAUCAUU